AACAUGUGGCAUUCGUAAGAAGUUGGUGAUCUCGGGAAGAUACUAUUGAUUUCAAUGUGCUACAGAUCACUGUGAAUUAUUGCCAAGUCAUACCCAUCAGGCACCCACUGAGAGAAACAUGAACAACUGUUGGAUAUAUCUUGAAAAAGUCAAACAGAUGAACACGUAAUGAGCAUGAUUUGUUGACCAGCUAUGGAAUACGUAUAACCAAUAAUACGGAAAAUCACUUGUGUUUAGUAUUUUAUUUAAAAAGUGAGGUAACGUGCGAUGAUACAUGCGAUUCCACAGAAGGUUGUUGGGGAAAGCAAGAAUGUUAGACUCGCACAAGAUGGCGGCAAACGAUUAGUUGUGGUAGCAAAAAGUGCACAACCAGGACUUCAAGAUUCGCUAGAUGACUUCAAGGUCCGGUAGAUGAGUUAAUUAUCUACUAGAUGACUUCAAGAUCCGUUAGAUGACUUCAACGUCCGUUAAAUUAGUUAAAUACCUAUUGGAUGACUUCAACAUCCGUUAUAUGACCUUUGGCUAAUUAAGACUUAAAAUUCCAGUCUUAAAAUAAAGAUCAUAACGUG